CACCCCGAAAAUGGUGCAGGAAUCCUGAAAGAACAGGAUUUACCCAAAAAGAAACGGAUUUACCCCAAAAUUGAUGGGAUUUACCCCAAAAUGGUGCAGUAAACCAAAAAGAAGAGGAUUUACCCAAAAAGAAAGGGAUUUACCCCAAAAACGACAGGACUCAGCCCAAAAUCAGUGGGAUUUAUCCCAAAAAUGGUGCAGGAACCUGAAAACGGCGCAGGAGCACCAAAACCAGCACAAUUUACACCAAAAACAGUAAAAGGAACCCAAAAAUGGGUGACCUGGCUCACCUGGGGUUCGCCUGGCUCACAGGGAUGUUCAGCCGUGCCGCGAUGUCCUCCACGGUCUCAUUGCCCUCGGAGAUGAUCCCCACGCCCUUGGCGAUGGCCUUGGCCGUGAUNAGGAACGGGGUGAUCUCGGGGAUGUUGCUGGUCAGCGUGUACGCGAUCGAUUUCUUCAGAUUGUCGAAAAUCAGGCGCCCUGAGGCGAAAAACGGCAAAAAACCAUCAAAAACCAUCAAAAACAGCAAAAAAUGGCAAAAACCGUCACCAGCGGCCCCAUAAACGCACGGAUUCACCCCAAAAUGGCCCAAACCGGACCUUCUGGUGACCAUGGAGGUGAAGUUGUCAUCGAGCAGGAUCACCUGUCCCACACCUGUCCCAGGUAUCUCACCUGUCCCUUACCUAUCUCAGGUGUGUCACUCACCUGCCCAGGUGUGUCUCAGGUGUGCCCAGGUGUGUUUCUCACCUGUCUCACCUGUCCCAGGUAUCUCACCUGUCCCAUACCUGCCCCAUACCUAUCUCAGGUGUGUUUCUCACCUUUCCAGGUGUGUCUCACCUGUCCCACACCUGUCCCGCACCUGUCCCACGUUAACCCACACCUGCCCAGGUGUAUCUCAGGUGUGUUUCUCACCUGCCCAGGUGUGUCUGACCUGUCCCACACCUGUCCUACGUUAACCCACGUUAACCCACACGUGCCCAGGUGUGCCCAGGUGUGCCCAGGUGUGUUUCUCACCUUCCUCG
rnacentral:lncRNA from 1 species